UACGGGGGGAGCAAGCGUUGUUCGGAUUUACUGGGCGUAAAGGGCGCGUAGGCGGUCAGCACAAGUCAGUUGUGAAAUCUCCGGGCUUAACUCGGAAAGGUCAACUGAUACUGUGCGACUAGAGUGCGGAAGGGGCAACUGGAAUUCUCGGUGUAGCGGUGAAAUGCGUAGAUAUCGUGAGGAACGCCAGAGGCGAAGGCGGCUACCUGGACAAUUGCUGACGCUCAGGCACGAAAGCGUGGGGAGCAAAAGGG
rnacentral:rRNA from 1 species